CACGUAGUUAGCCGUGGCUUUCUGGUUAGGUACCGUCAAGGUACGAGCAGUUACUCUCGUACUUGUUCUUCCCUAACAACAGAGUUUUACGAUCCGAAAACCUUCAUCACUCACGCGGCGUUGCUCCGUCAGACUUUCGUCCAUUGCGGAGGAUUCCCUACUGCUGCCUCCCGUAGGAGUCUGGGCCGUGUCUCAGUCCCAGUGUGGCCGAUCACCCUCUCAGGUCGGCUACGCAUCGUUGCCUUGGUGAGCCGUUACCUCACCAACUAGCUAAUGCGCCGCGGGCCCAUCUAUAAGUGAUAGCGUAAACCAUCUUUCAGCCUUUCCUCAUGAGAGGAAAGGGAUUAUCCGGUAUUAGCUCCGGUUUCCCGAAGUUAUCCCAGUCUUAUAGGCAGGUUGCCCACGUGUUACUCACCCGUCCGCCGCUGAUAUCAGGGAGCAAGCUCCCAUCAAUCCGCUCGACUUGCAUGUAUUAGGCACGCCGCCAGCGUUCGUCCUGAGCCAGGUA
rnacentral:rRNA from 1 species